rnacentral:rRNA from 1 species
UACGGAGGGUGCAAGCGUUAUCCGGAUUCACUGGGUUUAAAGGGUGCGUAGGUGGGCAAGUAAGUCAGUGGUGAAAUCUCCGGGCUUAACCCGGAAACUGCCAUUGAUACUAUUUGUCUUGAAUACUAUGGAGGUCAGCGGAAUAUGUCAUGUAGCGGUGAAAUGCUUAGAUAUGACACAGAACACCGAUUGCGAAGGCAGCUCGCUAAACUUAUAUUGACGCUGAGGCACGAAAGCGUGGGGAUCAAACAGG